rnacentral:tRNA from 1 species
GGAAGGGUGCGGCGAAUGGUAAGCCACAGGUUUGCUAAACCUGCGUCAGAAAUGGCAUGUGGGUUCGACUCCCAUCCCUUCCGC